GUAGUCCACGCUGUAAACGAUGUCUGCUAGCCGUUGGGAUCCUUGAGGUUUCGGUGGCGCAGCUAACGCGAUAAGCAGACCGCCUGGGGAGUACGGCCGCAAGGUUAAAACUCAAAUGAAUUGACGGGGGCCCGCACAAGCGGUGGAGCAUGUGGUUUAAUUCGAUGCAACGCGAAGAACCUUACCACCCCUUGACAUCCAGCGAACUGUCCAGAGAUGGACGGGUGCCUUCGGGAACGCUGAGACAGGUGCUGCAUGGCUGUCGUCAGCUCGUGUCGUGAGAUGUUGGGUUAAGUCCCGUAACGAGCGCAACCCUUGUCCUUAGUUGCUAGCGGUCCGGCCGAGCACUCUAGGGAGACUGCCGGUGACAAACCGGA
rnacentral:rRNA from 1 species